rnacentral:sRNA from 1 species
GCUGGGCGUGAUGGCACACACCUGUAAUCCCAGAAGCUUGGGAAGCUGAGGCAGGAGCAUCAGGAAUACAAAACCAGCUUCAGCAAAAACAAGGUGCUAAGCAACUUAGUAAGACCCUGUCUCUA